UAGGCAACCUACCCUGGAGUUCGGGAUAACAGUGCGAAAGCGCUGCUAAUACCGGAUACGACGAAAGACCGGAGGGUUUUUCGUGAAAGGGGGGCCUCUCUAUAGAAGCUCCUACUCUGGGACGGGCCUGCGUCCUAUCAGCUAGUUGGUGGGGUAACGGCCUACCAAGGCGACGACGGGUAGCUGGUCUGAGAGGAUGAUCAGCCACACUGGCACUGGAACACGGGCCAGACUCCUACGGGAGGCAGCAGUGAGGAAUUUUGCGCAAUGGCCGCAAGGCUGACGCAGCAACGCCGCGUGGGUGAAGAAGGCCUUCGGGUCGUAAAGCCCUGUCAGGUGGGAAGAAAUCUCUUGAGGUGAAUAAUCUUUAGAGUUGACGGUACCACCGGAGGAAGCACCGGCUAACUCCGUGCCAGCAGCCGCGGUAA
rnacentral:rRNA from 1 species